UUAAUAGGGUUCUCAGAUUUAGCAAAUACAAACACAGGACAUCCAGCUAAACCUGAAUUUCAGAUAAAUAGUGCAUAUUUCCUUAGCCUAAGUAUGUCUCAGAUACUGCAUGGGCAAAGGACAAUAAUCUAUACAUUUGUAAGCUCCGCAGGUGAUGUCAUCAAACCCUAGCUGUAGCGGAGAAGAGAAGUGAGGAAGGGGAGGUAUGGAGGAAGGGGAGGUAUGGAGGAAGAGGGAGACCAGGAAGCUCGUGGAAGCAUUGUCUCCUUUGAUACCACUGGUUUGCAGCUUUUGCUGGACCAAAAGGCAUGGACAGAACUAUUUGUUUUCAAUGAAGUUUGUUCUCCACUCGACCCAAAACAAGAUCACAAGGGUACCAGAAGCAGUCCCGUCUGUAUCUGCGUUCUUCACCUUAACGCGUCCCCAGCGAGGGAGAGGACCGGGACAUAGAACCGUGGUUGCCCGUAUUCACCACUAGGUGGUGCUCUCGCCUGGGAAAAUGACUUGCCAGCGACAGGAGCACCGACAAAUGCGCAGAUGCAGCACCGCCCGCGAAAUUGCUGAUGCUCCUCAGGCGUUGCCAAGUCAACCCGUGUCAGGCCUGUGUCCUGUUGGAACGCGCUACUAGAUACGGCGUCUAACUCCUCAUCUCCAGUUCCAGACCCAUCACGCUACACGAGUGAAUCGAAGAGGAGGAUGCUUUGGAGGGAGUCAGGGGGAGAUUAGAUGGAAGAGGAGACUAUGACCUGGGAGGCCGAGAUUAGAGUGUUGUGGCCACAAGCCAAGGAAUGUCAAGGCCACCAGAAGCUCCUGGAAGAAGAGAGGAACAGAUCUGGCCGGAAGGGCUUCACUCCGUUGGAAUUCUCCACUCUGAAAAUCUUCUCUGAUGGGGUCACCGACCCCAGAGAGGAAGCUAUCACUGAGUGAAGUUCAGGAGGAUAGGAGUUGACCUGCAGUUCAUCCUAUGUCUGUGUCGUGCUCUGCUUCCACAAGCCAAUAACUUUAUGAUUUCUCCCUGAUAUCAAGGGACGCAUGGAAAUCCACAGAGAUUUGCUCAACUCAACAAGCAUGUGCUGAUCAGGGGAGGUUGCCAAAAUGAGCCAACUGUUGCCCUUUGUGGCUUGAAGUGUUUCUUUUCUGAUCAGUAUCACCAGAUCCUCAGCACCUUACACAGGCUUAUGAGAAAAAUUUUUUUUUCUAAAUGAGAAACUAGUAAAAAUUUCAUUCAUU